rnacentral:lncRNA from 1 species
AUGCCACAUAGCUCUCCUGUUUUCAUACUCAUGAGCCCACAGCAAGCUGAGACUUAUCGGAGAGCUCCUCUCCAGGCAGCCGGGUGGACAGCAGGAGUGCUCAAGGUCACAGACACUGGGGGAAAUACACACCUGUCUACCUGCAGCAGGUAGCCCUCGGCACACCAGAACCACAGCAAGGCGUGGGGCAGUAUGUGUGUUUUCAAAACACUUCAGGUAGGGUUUCAGGUGCUGCUCCUCCCAGGUGACCUAAAGGAUUUUCUGUGACAGCUAUGCUCAGCCAUAGGUGGGAUGCUUGAGAACAAGCUGAAGCUGUUCUGUGACGCAUUACAAUAGUGAAAAAUGGGAAAUAAGGAGAUUGUUAAAUUGUGGACUGUAAAUUAAAUAAUUUAUAUGCAGUUUCUAAAAUGGUGUCUGGCACAUAGUAAGCCCUCAAGCUAUUACUAUGAAAAACUGUUUUUGAAGAUGGGAAGGUGCUUAUGGCGUGAUAUUAAAUGAAACCAAGCGGAUCCCAGACUGCAAACAGUGGGUCCCUCUUAUACGGGGAUGCCUACAUUUUGGAGAUCCUGGCUCAAGAUUAAGCUGUGACAAUCUGCCCCUUGGAUUCAGUAAAGACUGGAUAUGUUUGGAGAAAGCUACUGUGGUGUUUUUAAGGGAAGGAAAAUAAGGGAGUACAGCUGAGGAGGCUAACACCACUAGCAGAACUGUAGGGUAUGAGCACUCGUCAUUGUGGAAAACAUGGG